UUCUCAUAUGCACCAAGUUAUAUGUGUGUGUAAAUGUUUGCUGGGGUGGGGUCCAAGUCAGUCACCUUCUUGGGCUUUUAGCAAAGCAACAAGGGGGAGAAAAGCAUUUUAAACAUAGGAGUAUGGGACUAUCAUAGCACAAAAAUAGGCUCAUUCCUGUGGGGACGAGCACAGUAGCCAAGCUUACUUCUGACUGACUUUCUUAAAUGACUGGAUUAAAGGCUGACAGCUGUUGUCAAAUCAGGUCACCUUACAACAUAAACUGAUCUUUAGUUAAUGCAUAGGUUUGGUUUUUUUUCUUCUCUCUCUCCUCUUGGGACCCACAUGGGUGGGCUAAUAGUGUUAAGGCAGCCUGCCUUUUCAGAUGGAAAAAGACACACAAAGUAGCACCCACAGACAUUUUAAAUGCCUUCUAAACACAUUUAAAUAGCUUCUCUUGUUAAAUAUACAGCAAGUCAUACAACCUGGGGUGGGGCUGAAAUGAGAUUUUGCUGAUGCGUUUGGGAUUCACUCCAUCACUUGUGGCUUCACCGCCCACGAGACUGAGGUGGCCACCUCAGUCUCAUGGGAAUGAGAUCUUCAAACCUCACCACAUGGACCAUUAUGCAAACGCACACAUGUGACUGUAGGUAGAGUUGUACAUGCAGGCGUGUUAGCAUACGAGUGAACUGCAUAACUAGAUGCAUUACAGGAUGGAUUUCACUCGAGUGAAGUAUCCAGCAUUAACUGCUGUCAGCAAGGGGAUACUAACAAGAUUAGUCAUGGGUCUGCUCCAGUGCAGCAAUCCUGCUGUAUGCUAAAUGUUUCAGUUACAAAAAUAGGUCAUUCUCCUAGGGCUCUUAACCUACUUUUAAAAAUGUACCAACCAAUAAUUUAACCAGCAUAUCUGGAACCAAUGGAAUUUGAGCUCAAACCUCAACUUAACCUAAAUUAUCUACAUCUUUACUCAGGGAGCAUGUGAAAGACACGUGCUGACAGAGAAAAUGUCUAUUUUUGUCUUAAAAGGGAAAUAAUUAAUUAAUUAUUGACCCAGCUGGACUUGCACUUUGAGCAAGCUUGUGUAGAAUCCGUAUGCCUCCAUCGCUCAGCUGUGAAGGCAACAGCCUGUAUUAGCCAAUCCCAAAGCAGAGCACCAGAAACGGCUUGCAGUAAGCUGAAUGCCGGCUGCAUCUACGGGGGUGGAGAUUCUGUGACUUUUUCUGCUGAAGGGUCCUGGUUUCAAUUCCCACUGAUGACUCGGGUGUCCAGGUGUGUAUGUAGCCCUAGUUUUUACGUUCUGGACUGCUGGGAAAUGUGCACUGGCUCCUGAAUAAAUUAACCAGCUUUCAGAUCCAGAGUGAAAGCUCUAAUGAUGGCUCUGCUUCACUAGACUGUCACGGUCCAGGGAGUUCCCAGGAGCUGACAACAUCUUAGGCUAUUAAUAGAACGGAGUCUGUGAUUAAAUUAUAUGGCUUCUGAA